rnacentral:rRNA from 1 species
UCGACCCCUAAGGCGAGGCCGAAAGGCGUAGUCGAUGGGAAACAGGUUAAUAUUCCUGUACUUGGUGUUACUGCGAAGGGGGGACGGAGAAGGCUAUGUUAGCCGGGCGACGGUUGUCCCGGUUUAAGCAUGUAGGCUGGUUAUCCAGGCAAAUCCGGAUAACCAAGGCUGAGGUGUGAUGACGAGGCACUACGGUGCUGAAGUAACAAAUGCCCUGCUUCCAGGAAAAGCCUCUAAGCAUCAGGUAACAUCAAAUCGUACCCCAAACCGACACAGGUGGUCAGGUAGAGAAUACCAAGGCGCUUGAGAGAACUCGGGUGAAGGA